rnacentral:rRNA from 1 species
UGGGGAAUCUUGCGCAAUGGACGAAAGUCUGACGCAGCCACGCCGCGUGAGUGAAGAAGGCCUUCGGGUUGUAAAGCUCUGUCACCUGGGACGAAAACACUGACGGUUAAUAGCCGUCGGAAUUGACGGUACCAGGGGAGGAAGCACCGGCUAACUUCGUGCCAGCAGCCGCGGUAAUACGAAGGGUGCAAGCGUUGCUCGGAAUUAUUGGGCGUAAAGGGUUGGUAGGUGGUCUUGUUUGUCUUAGGUGAAAUCCCAUGGCUUAACUGUGGAAGUGCCUGAGAAACGGCAAGACUAGAGUCCUAGAGGGGUUUGUGGAAUUCCCGGUGUAGCGGUGAAAUGCGUAGAGAUCGGGAGGAACACCAGCGGCGAAGGCGGCAAACUGGAUAGGCACUGACACUCAACAACGAAAGCGUGGGGAGCAAACAGG